UACGGAGGGGGCUAGCGUUGUUCGGAAUCAUUGGGCGUAAAGGGCGCGUAGGCGGCCGGCCAAGUCGGAUGUGAAAUCCCUCGGCUCAACCGAGGAACUGCACUCGAUACUGGUUGGCUAGAGUCCGGGAGGGGAUGGUGGAAUUCCCAGUGUAGCGGUGAAAUGCGUAGAUAUUGGGAAGAACACCGGUGGCGAAGGCGGCCAUCUGGACCGGAACUGACGCUGAGGCGCGAAAGCCAGGGGAGCGAAAGGG
rnacentral:rRNA from 1 species